GAAGCACAAAAGACUGUUUGAAAAGGCAAACUGAGUUGAGACCUAAAGGUGUACCACAAUCACAUCCAAAGUACAUCAGUCUUGAAUGUUGUGAAGGCUCUGUAGUACAUGAUAAAGAAGAAUGAACCAGCCCUUUGUGCUAAAAGUCAUCCUGCUGGACAAUACCGCCCAAAGGCUGACUCUGCCUAAUGGAUUACCAGACACAGUUGAAGAACUUAUGGAAGAAGUCAUACGCCAAUGUGGACUUGCAUCGAAUAUCAGACUUCAAUUCAUGGACCCACUGUUUGGAAAUGAGUACAUGAAUCUUACAAACAUCAACGAACUCCAGGACAGAGGGACUAUUAGAGUGAUGAGUGAUGUGUCAGAAGAAUCAGACUCGGUGACCUUAGUACUUUCAGAUGUAUCAUCCAUAUCUUCAUUGCCUGUGACAGAAUCAUCGUCCUUAGCAUCCCUUCCUCUGUCAGAGUCAUCAUCACAACUUUCAUUUCCUCUGUCACAAUCAUCUCCAUUAGUUUCAAUACCUAUUUCAGAAGCAGCAACCUCUGCCCGAGCAGAUGAGACCUCUCUUUCCAGCUGUUUUACUGAGGACACAGACAUUCUUUCAUCGCCCCAGUCAGACCUUGGGGUUGGAAAAUCAUCCUGGCCACCCACAUUUAUUGUGCCAGUUUUUUCAUAUGACAGUGAGCUGAAACUUGAAAAAGGAAAUGCCAUGUACAAGGAAAAUGGAACUUUACUCCUGCC
ensembl:lncRNA